CAAAAGGCCUCCUUUUCCCCUCCUGCUGUUUCUUGUGGUUUUGGGUUCGGCCAUGAGAAGCAGCGACUGGGUCUACAAGGAACCGGACUCAGGACCGAGCAGCAGGACGCUGAAGAAGAGAGGGCAGAACCGGAGAAAGGUGGAUGAAACAGCCGACGUAAGACCAGACCCUCUGCAGGACGACCAGCAAGGCCAACAAGUAGAAGAUCAGUGUGACAACCUGGAGGGAAGACAAGAAGAAAACAGGGGGGACAACAAAGUCCAGUAGUUUACAUUUUAUAGCACAGGUGUCACACUCCAGUCCUCCUGGGCCAGUGAUGUCUCUCCACUUCAGCACACCUGAAACAUUAGGUCAAUAGGAGGAGCUAAUUCACAAAUUUGAUUCAGGUGUGCUGGACCAUGGAUAUGUCUAAAAGGGGCUUGACAUCAGCCCUUGAGGACUGGAGUUUGGCUCACCUGGAUUAGAGUUUAUAAAAUAAGAACUGGAGUGCUUAUAGAGGAGGAAGCCAUGGGCUACCAAGGGACUAGCGGUUUGAGACAGUACCUCCAGAUAGAGGUUUACGGUGUGGCCUAGAUGUGCUGAAGGGGAAUCCCCUGAUGGCCGAGGGGCAUAUCAACUGUUCUGAAAUGUUAUCCUUUGGCAGGCUUUCCUAGAGAGUGGAAAGUGCAGGAGGAACUCUUUGCUAACAGCGUCAAGCUCUGUCACCUGUAACUCUUGAACUCUGUCCUUUUUCCUCAAACUGACAUUUGAAGGAGGAAAGUUAAAGGGCUAUGCCAGGGGUCAGCAACCUUUCAGUCCAAAGAGCUGCUCCUCCACUGCUACAACAAACAUUUGUCAAGAGCCACAAAAAAAGAGAUUUCAUUAAUAUGUACAAAAAUAAAAUGUUCUAUUUUAAAGCUGACAUUAAACUAAAACGUAUUUCUAUUUUCAGAUCUUAGAACAAAAUCGAACUGAUGCAAAAGAAGAGCAAGCCUUCUGUGUUGUAGAAUAAGGCCAGCUGAGUGAGCCUUUAAUUUAAAACUGGGGUUUGUUCUUUAAUUCAUUUAAUUUCACUGCUAUUUUGGCAUAAGGUCCACCUUAGAUUGUUGUUGGGGUGCAGGUCAGGGUUGGAGGGACACCAUGUUUAAGAAAUGAGAAGCAACUCAUUGCACCAGUUGGGGUUAAAUAACUUGUUGCCAGCUGAAACACAAUCGCCCAUGCAGUAAUCAUCCAAUGGGAGGCUCAUUGCUAUUUGCUUAGUUAAAUCCAGGUGGCGACUUUUUUUUUUGGCCAGGCAGUGUAUUCUGGUGAGGAGCAAAGGCCGGCUACUCAAAACAGGACGUUUAUUUCCCCACUGUUUCCAGGAUCUCAUUCUUCUAAUAACCAUCCAUAUCUGAUGACCAUAUGUGAGGGUUGAAUUCAGUAGAUAAACCAGUACAUUUCUUCAACUUUGGUUUGAGCCAAGACUGUCUCAUCUCAGCUUGAGAUGUGGAGUAUAAACCAUUUGAUGCUAAUUUAUAUCAACUAAUUAUAAGAUUUUAUAGAACAAGUUUUCACAAACGGACAACUUUGAAGAGUGAUGAUUAGAACCCUGAGACUCUGCAUGCCAUCCAGCAGUCAGAUGCACAGGAUGUGGUGCCUCAGGUUGAGCUUCCACCCACUCCACCUUCUUCUCCACCUUAAUCUGACCGGGUCCCACAUUACUUGUACCUGGCUCGUAAGUGUCCUGCUGUGGAUGUUCUCCAGCAGAC